GAAGAAAUUCCGAGUUAAAAUUUUAAUUUACUCAGCUAAAAUCAAACGGCUCUCGGUAACAAAAUCAUACUUGCAGUCCUGGGCACCAAUUGAUCAUUCCAGAGGUGGAGGAGAGUGAAAGAGAUGGCAGGAGGGCAUGGAGAGGGCAUCAAUUACAAAGGCUUGACUAUGCAUAAGCCAAAGCGAUGGCAUGUAGUCACUGGAAAGGGCUUGUGUGCUGUCAUGUGGUUUUGGGUACUUUACAGGGCGAAGCAAGAUGGCCCUGUAGUAUUGGGCUGGAGACAUCCGUGGGAGGGCCAUGGUGACCAUGGCCAUGAGAGUGGACACUAGGCAUAUCCCAUUGAAGAAUGAAGAUCAAUAGCCAACCGUAAAUGUAUUUGUCGAUGGGUUGUUGGCCAUGCUGUCUUGAUGAGCCUUGUUUCGUUCAUCUUUUCAAUAAAGUGGUGGCGGAAAAAGAUUGCCGCGUACAUUGAAACCCUUUUUAACAUGUUUCUUUGUGAUCAUGGAUUUUAGUUUGUAUGUAUUCUUCUCUAGACAUGGGCACUUCUUUGUGUAUCAUGCUGUAUCAGUUCAUCCCAGUAUGUCUUCGGUACCUGGCAAGGUAUCAUCUGCUUUUCCCACU